rnacentral:lncRNA from 1 species
UGGCCAACAACAUGGUGAAACCCCACCUCUACUAAAAAUACCAAAAAAAAAAAAAAAAAAAAAUACCCAGGUGUGUUCAUGCCCACCUGUAAUCCCAGCUACUUGGGAGACUGAGGCACAAGAAUUGCUUGAAACCAGGAGGUGGAGGUUGCAGUGAGCCGAGAUCAUGCCACUGUACUCCAGCCUGGGUGACAGAGUGAGACUGUCUUUGUUGUUGUUAUGGAGUCUCACUCUGUCACCAGGCUGGAGUGCAGUGGUGCGAUCUUGGCUCACUGCAACCUCCGACUCCCUGGUUCAAGCAAUUCUCCUGCCUCAGUCUCCCAAGUAGCUGGGAUUACAGGCACAUAAUUUUUUUUUUUUUAAGUAUUAUUAGUAGAGGAGUUUCACCAUGUUGGCCAGGAAGGUCUUGAUCUCCUGACCCCGUGAUCCGCCCUUGUCAGCCUCUCAAAGUGCUGGGAUUACAGGCAUGAGCCACCUCGCCCGGCGCGAGACUCUUUCUCAAAAAAAAAAAAAAAAAAAAAAUUGCUCUGGGCAAGGUGGCUCACACCUGUAAUCCCAGCACUUUGGAAGGCUGAGGCUGAAGGAUUACCUGAGGUCAGGAGUUCAAGACCAGCCUGGCCAACAUGGUGAAACCCCAUGUUGUCUCUACUAAAAACACAAAAAUUAGCUGGGUGUGGACACGGGUGCCUGUAAUCCUAGGUACUGUAGAGGCUGAGGCAGGAGAAUCGCUUGAACCUGGAGGCAGAGGUUGCAGUGAGCCAAGAUCGUGCCACUGCACUCCAGCCUGGGGGACAGAGUGAUAAUCUGUCUGAAAAAAAAAAUGGAAUAAUACAAAAUCAUACUGAGAUUCAUUCAUGUUAUUUUUUGUGGCUGCAGUGCAUUCAUUUCCACUGUGUAGUAUUUCAUUGUCUGAUAUACCAGAAUUUAUCCACUCUCUUUUUGAUGUACAUUUGGAUUUGCAGUCUUUUGCUUUAUGAAAAGUGCUGCCGUAAACAUUACUAUUGUCUGUGUCUCCUGAUGCAUCUGUGAAAGGGUUUUUCUAGGAGUGGAAUUGCUGGAUAAUAUGUAAAUAAUAAAGAUAAGAAAAUGUCAAAUUCUUUUCAAAAGUAGUUGAAUCAAGUUGUACUCCAACAGCAAUGUAUAAAGAGUUCUCACUGAUCUGUAUCUUCUCCAACAUUUAGGUUUCUCACAUUUUUACAUUUUUUUGCCAGUUAAAUGUACAUAAUAUGUAUCUUAUGGUUUAAUCUUUCUGUUUUUUUUUUAACUAAAUCUUUCUGCUUUUAUUAUUUUCUCUAUUGAAAAUAGUUUGGUUUAGAUUUAGACUUAGACAAGAUGGAAAAAAAA